GCGUGCUUAACACAUGCAAGUCGAACGAUGAAGCCCUUCGGGGUGGAUUAGUGGCGAACGGGUGAGUAACACGUGGGCAAUCUGCCCUGCACUCUGGGACAAGCCCUGGAAACGGGGUCUAAUACCGGAUACGAGCCUCCCGGGCAUCUGGGAGGUUGGAAAGCUCCGGCGGUGCAGGAUGAGCCCGCGGCCUAUCAGCUUGUUGGUGAGGUAACGGCUCACCAAGGCGACGACGGGUAGCCGGCCUGAGAGGGCGACCGGCCACACUGGGACUGAGACACGGCCCAGACUCCUACGGGAGGCAGCAGUGGGGAAUAUUGCACAAUGGGCGAAAGCCUGAUGCAGCGACGCCGCGUGAGGGAUGACGGCCUUCGGGUUGUAAACCUCUUUCAGCAGGGAAGAAGCGAAAGUGACGGUACCUGCAGAAGAAGCGCCGGCUAACUACGUGCCAGCAGCCGCGGUAAUACGUAGGGCGCAAGCGUUGUCCGGAAUUAUUGGGCGUAAAGAGCUCGUAGGCGGCUUGUCGCGUCGAUUGUGAAAGCCCGGGGCUUAACUCCGGGUCUGCAGUCGAUACGGGCAGGCUAGAGUGUGGUAGGGGAGAUCGGAAUUCCUGGUGUAGCGGUGAAAUGCGCAGAUAUCAGGAGGAACACCGGUGGCGAAGGCGGAUCUCUGGGCCAUUACUGACGCUGAGGAGCGAAAGCGUGGGGAGCGAACAGGAUUAGAUACCCUGGUAGUCCACGCCGUAAACGGUGGGCACUAGGUGUUGGCGACAUUCCACGUCGUCGGUGCCGCAGCUAACGCAUUAAGUGCCCCGCCUGGGGAGUACGGCCGCAAGGCUAAAACUCAAAGGAAUUGAC
rnacentral:rRNA from 1 species